GCCCCGGAGAAGCAGCGGGGAGGCCGGGAGCCCGCGGGCCGGAGCCGCCCGGCCCGAGCGUGGGGGCUGCGGGGCCGGCCCACCCGUGGGGACGACUUGAGCGUUGAGGGCGCGCGGGGAGGCGAGCCACCAUGUUCAGCCAGCAGCAGCAGCAGCAGCUCCAGCAACAGCAGCAGCAGCUCCAGCAGUUACAGCAGCAGCAGCUCCAGCAGCAGCAAUUGCAGCAGCAGCAGUUACUGCAGCUCCAGCAGCUGCUCCAGCAAUCCCCACCACAGGCCCCGUUGCCCAUGGCUGUCAGCCGGGGGCUCCCCUCGCAGCAGCCACAGCAGCCGCUUCUGAAUCUCCAGGGCACCAACUCAGCCUCCCUCCUCAACGGCUCCAUGCUGCAGAGAGCUUUGCUUUUACAGCAGUUGCAAGACAAUGCCUGUGGAAGACAAGUCAGACCCCCCAGAGGGGUCUGAGGAAGCCGCAGAGCCCCGGAUGGACACACCAGAAGACCAAGAUUUACCGCCCUGCCCAGAGGACAUUGCCAAGGAAAAACGCACUCCAGCACCUGAGCCUGAGCCUUGUGAGGUGUCCGAGCUGCCAGCAAAGAGAUUGAGGAGCUCAGAAGAGCCCACAGAAAAGGAACCUCCAGGGCAGCUACAGGCGAAGGCCCAGCCGCAGGCCCGGAUGACAGUACCGAAACAGACACAGACACCAGACCUGGUGCCUGAGCACCUGGAAGCCCAAGUGCUGCCACAAUUCCAGCCACGGGUCCUGCAGGUCCAGGCCCAGGUGCAGUCACAGACUCAGCCGCGGAUACCACCCACAGACACCCAGGUGCAGCCGAAGCUGCAGAAGCAGGCACAAACACAGACCUCUCCAGAGCACUUAGUACUGCAACAGAAGCAGGU
rnacentral:sRNA from 1 species